CACUAUACUGUGAAACUGCGAAUGGCUCAUUAAAUCAGUCAUAAUUUAUUUGAUAGUACCUUUACCUGGAUAACCGUGGUAAUUCUAGAGCUAAUACAUGCUAAAAACCUCGACUUCGGAAGGGGUGUAUUUAUUAGAUAAAAAACCAAUGCCCUUCGGGGCUCCUUGGUGAUUCAUAAUAACUUAACGAAUCGCAUGGCCUUGCGCCGGCGAUGGUUCAUUCAAAUUUCUGCCCUAUCAACUUUCGAUGGUAGAAUAGUGGUCUACCAUGGUUUCAACGGGUAACGGGGAAUUAGGGUUCUAUUCCGGAGAGGGAGCCUGAGAAACGGCUACCACAUCCAAGGAAGGCAGCAGGCGCGCAAAUUACCCAAUCCCGAUACGGGGAGGUAGUGACAAUAAAUACUGAUACAGGGCUCUUUCGGGUCUUGUAAUUGGAAUGAGUACAAUCUAAAUCCCUUAACGAGGAACAAUUGGAGGGCAAGUCUGGUGCCAGCAGCCGCGGUAAUUCCAGCUCCAAUAGCGUAUAUUAAAGUUGUUGCAGUUAAAAAGCUCGUAGUUGAACCUUGGGCCUGACCGAUCUGUCCUCCUAAUCGAGCGCACGGAUUCGGUUGGGCCUUUCCUUCUGGGGAGCCCUAUGCCCUUCACUGGGCGUAGUGGGGAACCAGGACUUUUACCUUGAAAAAAUUAGAGUGUUCAAAGCAGGCAUUUGCUCGAAUACAUUAGCAUGGAAUAAUAGAAUAGGACAUCGGUUCUAUUUUGUUGGUUUCUAGGACCGCUGUAAUGAUUAAUAGGGAUAGUCGGGGGCGUCAGUAUUCAAUUGUCAGAGGUGAAAUUCUUGGAUUUAUUGAAGACUAACUAUUGCGAAAGCAUUCGCCAAGGAUGUUUUCAUUAAUCAGUGAACGAAAGUUAGGGGAUCGAAGACGAUCAGAUACCGUCGUAGUCUUAACCAUAAACUAUGCCGACUAGGGAUCGGACGGUGGUUUUUUAUGCCCCGUUCGGCACCUUACGAGAAA
rnacentral:rRNA from 1 species